AUUGCACGCUGGCGGCAGGCUUAACACAUGCAAGUCGAGCGCGCGGCGGACGGGUGAGUAAUGUAUUGGAAACUGCCUGAUAGAGGGGGAUAACUACUGGAAACGGUAGCUCAUACCACAUACCAUCAGAUGUGCACAGAUGGGAUUAGCUAGUAGGUGUGGUAAUGGAGCACCUAGGCGACGAGCCCUAGCUGUUCUGAGAGGAAGGCCAGCCCCACUGGGACUGAGACACGGCCCAGACUCCGACUGUAGGCAGCAGGGGGGAAUAUUGCACAAUGGGCGAAAGCCUGAUGCAGCCAUGCCGCGUGUGUGAAGAAGGCCUUCGGGUUGUAAAGCACUUUCAGCGAGGAGGCGUUACUCGCAGAAGAAGCACCGGCUAACUCCGUGCCAGCAGCCGCGGUAAUAC
rnacentral:rRNA from 1 species